rnacentral:rRNA from 1 species
GAUGAACGCUGGCGGCGUGCCUAAUACAUGCAAGUCGAGCGAACAGAUGAGGAGCUUGCUCCUCUGACGUUAGCGGCGGACGGGUGAGUAACACGUGGAUAACCUACCUAUAAGACUGGGAUAACUUCGGGAAACCGGAGCUAAUACCGGAUAAUAUAUUGAACCGCAUGGUUCAAUAGUGAAAGACGGUUUUGCUGUCACUUAUAGAUGGAUCCGCGCCGCAUUAGCUAUUUGGUAAGGUAACGGCUUACCAAGGCAACGAUGCGUAGCCGACCUGAGAGGGUGAUCGGCCACACUGGAACUGAGACACGGUCCAGACUCCUACGGGAGGCAGCAGUAGGGAAUCUUCCGCAAUGGGCGAAAGCCUGACGGAGCAACGCCGCGUGAGUGAUGAAGGUCUUCGGAUCGUAAAACUCUGUUAUUAGGGAAGAACAAAUGUGUAAGUAACUAUGCACGUCUUGACGGUACCUAAUCAGAAAGCCACGGCUAACUACGUG